UUCCCUCCACACACAGCUCUCAGGUGUGUCUCAUUUGUAAGUUUCCUUUCCCCCUCCUUACCAGUGAUGUCAUUUCCUCAUUUGCUGU